rnacentral:rRNA from 1 species
UGGGGAAUAUUGGACAAUGGGCGCAAGCCUGAUCCAGCCAUGCCUCGUGUGUGAAGAAGUCCUUUUGGUUGUAAAGCACUUUAAGCGAGGAGGAGGCUACUUGGAUUAAUACUCUAAGAUAGUGGACGUUACUCGCAGAAUAAGCACCGGCUAACUCUGUGCCAGCAGCCGCGGUAAUACAGAGGGUGCGAGCGUUAAUCGGAUUUACUGGGCGUAAAGCGUGCGUAGGCGGCUUCUUAAGUCGGAUGUGAAAUCCCUGAGCUUAACUUAGGAAUUGCAGUCGAUACUGGGAAGCUAGAGUAUGGGAGAGGAUGGUAGAAUUCCAGGUGUAGCGGUGAAAUGCGUAGAGAUCUGGAGGAAUACCGAUGGCGAAGGCAGCAAUCUGGCCUAAUACUGACGCUGAGGUACGAAAGCAUGGGGAGCAAACAGG